AGUAAACUCUGGCAACUGGCGAAUUUUAUGUUAUGACCACCCAAUUUAGGAAUCCGUAGUAUUUACUCAGUGAUAUAAGUUUAUAUAAUUAUGCAUUAGCCCCCAUAAGAAUCAAAGACUUAUAAGAAAAGGAGCCUCAAGUCCCAUUCAUGUCUGACAAAUUUUAUUUUGAGAAUCACUGCUUUAGAACUAUCUGAAUCAGUUUGUCCUUGAGUGAGAAUAGAUGAGAGAAAAUGUGGAGCUCCUGACAUAGUAGCAGAGGAAAAAUGAUCACUAACACAGUGUGCUACUCUGAUGCUUCAAAAAGAUCAACACAUAAUGCUAAAGCCUGAUCAAAAGGCCCCUAUUACUUGCCUGACGCUAUUCUUGGAGCAACAAGUACUUAGUGCCAGGCAUCUUGAAACGUCAGUGUGCAGUUAUCUAAUCAUAUUGAUAUUCUGGUGGUGAUUAACAUGUUAUAUAAUCUUUCUGUGCCUUUCUUGAUGGGGUCAGAUUCUACACCACACAAGUCACAGAAUUCCAAAAAGCUAUUGUGAGAAUAAAGCUAAAGCCAACAAAAGGAUGAG
rnacentral:lncRNA from 1 species